rnacentral:rRNA from 1 species
UACGAAGGACCCGAGCGUUAUCCGGAUUUAUUGGGUUUAAAGGGUGCGUAGGCGGACUUGCAAGUCAGUGGUGAAAAUCCCUCAGCUUAACUGAGGAACUGCCAUUGAAACUGCUUGUCUUGAGUACAUUUGAGGUGGGCGGAAUGUGUCAUGUAGAGGUGAAAUUCUUAGAUAUUGACACAGAACACCAAUUGCGAAGGCAGCUCACUAAACUGUAACUGACGCUGAUGCACGAAAGCGUGGGGAU